GACUGACGGCGCGCGACGCGGGCGCGGCGGCGGGGUCUCUGGGCUCCUGGCUUGUUGCUACUUGGGCCUGACCCAGUGGCGGGUCCUCGGGACCUGGGGGGCCUGCAGAAGCCGGCAGAUGGAGAUUCAGAAACAUAAGGACAACAAGAAGCUUUCUCAAGGUAUCGUUACAGUCUUUAGACUUCAGAUAUGCACACACACCUCAAAUAUAUACACACUGAAAUGAAAAUUAAGGAAGUUUUUUAAAUGACCCUAUUCCAAGUAUGAAGUGUGUUGCAUGAAUUUCCAAGAAAUUUAUUUCUCACGAGUCUGGAGAUGGGAAGUCAAAAGACCAAAGUACCAGCAGAAUGGUUGUCUAGCGAGGGCCCACUUCCUUCUAGAUGACAGUCUUUUCACUGUGUUCUCAAGGGUAGAAGGAAUGAGCCAGCUCUCUGGGAUCUCUUUUGUAAGAGUGCUAAUCCUAGUGAAGAGUGCUCUGCCAGGGGCCCCAGAUCCCAAUAUCAUCACCUUGGGCUAAUCAAUAUUUUCUAACUUCCAUUUGCUACUCUAAUGUUAACUCUGUUAUCUCAAUGUUAAUAAUAAUAAUAGCUGACAUUUGCUGAUGACUUACAUUAUACUGCAUUCAUUAACAUCUCAAUCUCAUUUAAUUUGAAAGAGGUGAAGCUGCAGCCAAUACCCACAUUACCACUUUUUUUCCUGUCUCAUCACAAAGAUUGUGAGGUUGCAGAGCUCUCUUUAGGUAUUGCUCACAUCAGGACACUUGAAAAAUAGAUCCUUCAUAUCCUUUGGACAACUCUUGGACUUCAAUUGGCUUUAAGCAUUAUCAGAGCAUCCUUGGCAUGAUGCCAGGGCCUAACACUGCUUCAGUGAAAGCACAGGGAUAACAAUGGCAAAGCAUAAUUGACGUAUUUUGUGCCCCAUGACAUACUCUGUGAGCAACAUUAUCAAAUACUGUGGUGUUUGGUGUCCAUAAAUUGCAGAGAAAUUGAAAUAUAUUUAAAAACUUUAUGCAUGGACAGUGACCUAGGAUAUCACUCAACUCUUCUGCUUUCAUAACCAAAGGUGAAAAUGCUAACAGUCUGUUCCUUGUGGAAAAAUGUUGAGUUUUCGUUCAGGAGACCAAUCCUCACACACUAACUCAACCUAUAGUAGACACUUGCUGGAGAAUAAAAAUAAUGCAUGUAAAACCAUUUUGUAAACUGUAAAUAAUUUUACAAAUAUGAAAUUUUAUCACAGUUUUAGUUUUAGUUUUGUGUCUAUUAAAUGUAUGCCUAUUAACAUGCACACUUUUUUCUUCUAGCAUCAAAGCUUGCUUAAAAUAACAGCAGAACAUUUAAAAGCAAGAGAAUUCUAAUUUACCAUCAUUCAAAUUAUGUUAAAUCCAAUUCAACUUUAUAAGCUAAAGAACAUGUGAAGGAUAAAUAAGAACUUGAUAGUUAAGAAGAUAAAUAUAUGCAGAUAAAUAUAUGUGAUGAACCAAAUUGAUUAUAACUAUAUACUGUAUUAAAACAGACUAAAUUUAAAUUUAUUAUGAAAUGGCAAACCUAUUCCAAAAGCCUUCUUGGAAAAACAUGCCUUAACAAGCUCGUGUGGUUGUAAGGUUGAUAAUAUCUUGAUAAUAACUUAUGUUUUUCUUAUUCCUAGUAAUUACUGGCCCCCUUAUGACCUUCAUUCUAGUUUCAGGCAGUAGCUAGGAGAGCCAAACUUACUGCUCCAGAGUAUUGAGGCCAAGGCAUACAACAGAGUCAAUUCUCAGCUUUCCCAUUUCAAAGUAGACAAUAGGAGAAGCUAGAACAAAGGCCAAAAUGUAUGCAGUAAAGAAAAAAAUUGGGGAAGAAUGCAGUUGAUGAAAGAGCUACACUAGACAAGGAUUUCAUUGGAAGAAGUGAAGGAUAGGGAGCUUGUAAAGAUCAAGAUAGUUGGACAGGUGGACUGUCUCCAAGAGCGUUCCACUUGCCUCCUCACUUCUUGAGCAUUGGAGUUGGGCAGAUUGAUGAUAGACCAUCCAGGUAAAUUUUGGCAUCCAAAAGUAAAUGUCACUUUGAUCUUGUUUCUCAAGAAAGACCUUGAAAGUGAGCAAACUCCUGGACCUCCCUAAUCCCCAGUACCACAUUGGCUUGGAGCAGCAAUGGUACAGUAGAAUAGCAGGGCAGGGAGACUCAAGGCAGAGAUAGUCUUGAUACAGGCAACUCCCUGAGCUUCCUGCCAUCAGAGAGGUACGGAGAACCUCCAAAAAUUUCAUUUCUCCCUGAAAUGUGUGAAAAUGACUGAGAGAGAGCUGAUAUACUAGGGUUCUUUGGGUUGGGAUUGGGAAAAUUCAGAGUACGUGGAUAAAGAACCAGGGACCAGCCACAUGACUUCAUAUGACUUGCUAAUGGGAGUCGAUGCUGACAACCAUAGACCCUCCUGAGCUUCUCCUUGGGGCCUCAAUUUCAGUCCAGCCUUUAGAACUUAGUUUUGGUCUUAGGGAGAAGGAUAGGGAGAUGAAAAUUUUAUCUGAGUUUAAAACCUGAAAUGAUUGCAUUUAUGCAGAUAUGACAUUUUCUGGAUAUAUUUUGACAAGAGUAGAGCUAGGAGAAUCAAAAUAGAGAUUAUGUUGAGUAAUAGGGAAGUAGAGUUAUAUUUCUUGCCUAUCAUCUGAGUAUAUGGCCUGAAAUAUUGUACCUGCUACAAGGAAUAAUAUAUUGUAAGCAAAGUGAGGUCAUGACCCGAGCCCAAGAGUUCCAGGAGCCUUCUAUGAUGUGAUGAAAUGGUCUUAGGUCCCCUAUACUAUUACCUUGUGGUAGAACAUAAGAACUAGAUGUUCCGGAUGUAUUAACAUAAACCUGAAGUGAUGUUGUUAGUGAACUUGUUUUUAAAAAUUAGGAGUGUUUUGGUUAGGUGACCUACCAACAUACAGGGAAAAGAUGCAGGAUCUUGGUUGAUUCUCACUGCAGUAGAAAUUGAUAUUGUGGUGUCGCAGCUUAUAAAUUAAUGAAACUUUAAGAUGAAUUAAUAGAAAUAUAGUUCAUGAAGCUACCCCAAUACUUGCCCUGCCUCUCCUCUCCUAUUACAGUAGUAGAUCACCUGUCUGUGUUCCUUCCCAUCUGAGAUUCAGGUAAUGGACUUCAUCUCUUCUUGUCUUCUCAAGGAUUUUGCAUCUGCCAUUAUCCUUUCUCCCUCCUGCAUGCUCAGUGGCUUUUUUCUCUACCAGAUCAAUUUCCUCAACAUACAAAUAUUAUCUGGUAUUUCUCAUAUU